GGGCUGACAGAAUGAUGUGAACUGCUGCAUCAUUUUGCAUGAAGUCAUAUUGAUUGUGAAAGGAAACAGAAGCCAAGUGACUUAACCAAUUUUUCAAGGAGCAUUAUGACAAUAAUGUUUCCAUAUUGUCAGAGGGGAUCACAUCAAUUUAAGAACUAAAAUUCAGCUUCAGGAGACAAUCACCUGUCCUUUUGAAGAUCGUGUUGGAGGUGGAGCCACAGUAUUGUGACCACCAGGCCCCAAAAGCAUGGGCCACCUGCUUCAGCCUUGAUUAAACGAAGUGAAGGAAAAAAGGAAGUGGGCAGCCCAGAGUUAAGCUGGCCAUGACAAAUGAGCUCCCGUGUUUUCGUCUCCUAUUCCAAGCAAGUAGCCAGGCUAAUUGCCGCCUUACUUCAGGGAAGUCUGUGGCAGAAGCUUGAAAGCAAAUGACCUACUACACCUGCUUGUGUCCUGGUCUUCAAGAGCUUGGGUUCCUGAAGUGGAUUAUGCUGGAGGAACACAGGUAGAAGCAGAAGUAACAAAGGAGAGAAGGAGACUGCCCUACUGCCCUAUACCAGGAAGGUGUGGUGGUUUCCACAAUCAUCAAGGGGCCUGUGUCCUACUUCUAGCAGAACCUGGGGAAGAAGACAAGGAUUCUGCGGAGCCUAACUGUGUGGUGAAGCUAGGGAGGCUGUACCCUUGGCAACAGGGCUUCCAUUGUGAAGAAAGAUGCCUGCAGGCCAAGAAGAGCAGAGAAACAGAGUCACUGCCAUUCAACAGUUCAUGACAACUUCAACAAUAGGGCCACCAUAAUGAGCCAAAAAUUAGGAGCAAUUCUCCUGUGUUUUAAGGAACCACAAAGUCUCUGAGAGACUGAAGAAGAGAGAACACCCAAAUGACAAAUUAAAUUUACCUCCAGCAAGGUGGGAUUAAGGCUCACAGAAAUAUCCAGCACACUCUCCUCACAUCUACUGGGGUCCAAGGCCUCAACAGCACAGUCUCCUCAACCUGCUGCUCCAGACAUUUCGCUUUUCUUCCUCUGCUUGAAUCCUACAAUCGCAAUGCUUUCCUGCCUCUGUGUUUGCUUGGAAUUUUUUGUCCUUUGGCAAUUUAAUGCUUGUAUUCAUCCAUUUAAUAAUAAGUGCCCAUCUUUUCUAUCUUCAAAUACUUGCCCUUCAUAAGGUUCUCCCUGACCCCUCUGAAAAGCCAUAAUUUCCUCCUUUACAUCUCCAAGUUUUGUACUUCUCUUGGGACAUUUACCCUGUACUACUUUUUGUUAUCAUUUCACAUCUGCUCCUCCCAACAUCUUAAACAUUUAUUGAACAUCUACUAAGCAUCCUAAAGACAGUGACUGUUUCCCAAGUACCUAGCAUAACACCAUAUGCCAUUGACCUUAGGACACUAAACUGAACAGAGCACAGAGCCUGUCCUCAAAGUUCUCAAAGUCUAUGUAUCAUGCUCAGGGAUCACAGGAUUGUAUGUAGUAACUUCUCAGCCUUUGUUGAUCUUGAUUGUCAGCACUUUAAAGCUCCAUUCAGCUACUUAUGUAAAAUUUAAGCAAAAUGAGGAAGAUAAUUUCGUUGGAGAGAAAGCUUCUGGAUGCUUCAGAAUAUGCCACCUCACCUGAAUGGUAACCAUUACACUUGUAAAUAAGAUAAAAUAGCAAGAAAAAUAUAAACAUAUGCUUUGAUUAUUUCCUUUUUGAAAAUCAAUAAGAUCAUUUUUAUUUUCAAAGAAAAUGUGCAAAUAAAAAUAUUGUUACCACUUAUUUGAAAUCCAUGAAAAAUGCUGAGGUGAAGGAACUGUUGUCCAAAAACUGCUUUCUCUUCCCGGGCUUACUUCCUUUGCCUUCAUUGUUUUCUGCUGCCACUCCUGCUUUGGAAUUUGCUGUUAUGUGUAAUAAACUCCAUCACAGUGUCUGUGGAUAAAUCAAGAAAUAUUCACUGGAGAUCUUGUCACAGGCCACAGUCCAGACUUAAUCCCUGCUCUCC
rnacentral:lncRNA from 1 species